CUGACCCAGCAAAGCUGCAGGGUCCUCUCUCUGGUUUCUCAGGAGGCUGAGGUGGGAGGAUCGCUGGAGCCCAGGCCUUCGAGGUCAGCCUGGAUAGAAUGGUGAGAUGACAGAAACCCCCACACUGUGACGAGGGAGGGCAGGAGAAGCUGCUGUGGAUGUGGAGUUGGGAACAGAUGCCCAGUGGCACACCAGGGUAUGAUGUCUCCACCGCACAGAUACAAGAGGCGUGGAUAACCCCAAAAGCAGAAAUGAUAGUCAAACAUGUUAACAUAAUCAGGAAGUGGUAAGUGUUGCAUAUUACCUUUGCUCUUUUGACAUACUUUGUGAGCAUAUGCAAUUUAAUUUUUAAUGAUGGCUAUGCUUGACAACUGACCCAUGACAUUACUGAAAUGUGGACAGCUGGCUCUCCCAAGCAAGUCCAAGUUGGCCCCAGCCCCCUGCGGUGCUGUUCUGUGCCGUCUCGCCCAGGGCACCAGGACCUGCUCUGAAAACUCUGUGGGGCCUGGCUUCAGCCCACCUUGUUUUCAUCCCACGUGUCACUCUUUGGAACACCAUGUUUAAGCAGGGGCCAUCUCUGGGUUUCUUUGUGUAGCCCGUGUUCAAUCCUAAGGACCCUCACUCCUGGCCCCUUGUCUGCUAGUCACCUUCCACCCAAGGUUAAAAAGCACAGGGUUUCUAGCCAGGUGUGGUGGCGUGCGCCUAUAGUCCCAGCUA
rnacentral:lncRNA from 1 species